rnacentral:rRNA from 1 species
AGUGAACGCUGGCGGUAGGCCUAACACAUGCAAGUCGAACGGCCGCACAGUAAGAGCUUGCUCUUACGGGUGGCGAGUGGCGGACGGGUGAGGAAUACAUCGGAAUCUACUUUUUCGUGGGGGAUAACGUAGGGAAACUUACGCUAAUACCGCAUACGACCUACGGGUGAAAGCAGGGGAUCUUCGGACCUUGCGCGAUUGAAUGAGCCGAUGUCGGAUUAGCUAGUUGGCGGGGUAAAGGCCCACCAAGGCGACGAUCCGUAGCUGGUCUGAGAGGAUGAUCAGCCACACUGGAACUGAGACACGGUCCAGACUCCUACGGGAGGCAGCAGUGGGGAAUCUUGGACAAUGGGCGCAAGCCUGAUCCAGCCAUACCGCGUGAGUGAAGAAGGCCUUCGGGUUGUAAAGCCCUUUUGUUGGGAAAGAAAAGCAGCAGGUUAAUACCCCGCUGUUCUGACGGUACCCAAAGAAUAAGCACCGGCUAACUUCGUG